UACCAGCACCCCGAGUGGUCGGGACGUUUAUUGGGCCUAAAGCAUCCGUAGCCGGUUCUACAAGUCUUCCGUUAAAUCCAGCUGCUUAACAGAUGGGCUGCGGAAGAUACUAUGGAGCUAGGAGGCGGGAGAGGCAAGCGGUACUCGAUGGGUAGGGGUAAAAUCCGUUGAUCCAUUGAAGACCACCAGUGGCGAAGGCGGCUUGCCAGAACGCGCUCGACGGUGAGGGAUGAAAGCUGGGGGAGAAAACCGG
rnacentral:rRNA from 1 species